GGAUAACAGUGGAUCCUCAGUUGAAAAGUAGUUUCAAGAUAGAGGUAGAGAAACAGUUGUGUAGGCUAGAGAGGUCGAGAGGGAGAGAGGGAAGAGUGGUUGAAACGCGAUGACGAGGGAGGGAUCAAGAGAAAGCUGAAAAAAGCAGUGAGUGAUAAUAGAUUGAGAGCAUACAGAUUGGUCCCUGGCAAUCUACUGAUAUAACAAACUAAUUUUAACUUACUGUACAAUGAGUAAAACAUAACAAACUGCAAAACCAAUGUAGAUAUAAAAAUCUAGAGAAUUUUAUGAUAUUACGUUUCAAAUCCAUACUUUGGUAAGAAUUUCUUGAGAUGGGAACAUAUUUUUUGCUGUCUCUGACCAUUCUGGCAGACCAUUU
rnacentral:lncRNA from 1 species